rnacentral:tRNA from 1 species
UGGUAAAGAGAGGACUUACACCUCUGUCGUUGGGUUUACAGCCCACCACCUCAUACUAGGCUACCUUACC